rnacentral:rRNA from 1 species
UGUGUAGGCGGUUGCUUAAGUUUGGUGUGAAAUCUCCCGGCUCAACUGGGAGGGUGCGCCGAAUACUGAGUGACUAGAGUGCGGGAGAGGAAAGUGGAAUUCCUGGUGUAGCGGUGAAAUGCGUAGAUAUCAGGAGGAACACCGGUGGUGUAGACGGCUUUCUGGACCGUAACUGACGCUGAAACACGAAAGCGUGGGUAGCAAACAGGAUUAGAUACCCUGGUAGUCCACGCCCUAAACGAUGCAUAUUUGGUGUGGGCAGUUCAUUCUGUCCGUGCCGGAGCUAACGCGUUAAAUAUGCCGCCUGGGGAGUACAGUCGCAAGGCUGAA